GUAGACAAAAAAGAAAAUUCACGCACCCCUCAUCCUCGACCUCCCAACCCCCGGAUCGACACGCCCGCCGCCGACCUCCAGGAUCUGUCCGCCACCGCGCGUGCCGCCGGCCUUCGAGGUCUAGCCGUCACCCGCACGCCGCCGGCCUACGGGAUCCCACCGCAAUCCCACGCGACGCCGGCCUCCGGGAUCCCACCGCCACCCUGUGCGACGCCGACCUUCGGGAUUCUGCAGCCACCCCGCAGGCCGCUGGCCUUCGGGAUUCCGCAGCCACCCCGCGCGCCACCGGCCGCCAGGAACCCGCCUCCACCACGCGCGCCGCACUGCUGUGCAACCAUUAACCGUUGAUGCGCCAUGGGAAGCCCCUGCACUGCUCGCCCUUCCUCACAUGUGCCAUGGUUGCAUCUUCCCUAGCAGAUGCGGCCGGUGUGCCAUUUGCACCGCCAAUGCGACCUACGCCGUCCACAAUUGGUCUACUCAUCCAUUCUUCACGGGCAGUCCGUCGGCUCGCUCCCUAGCAGUCCAUGUGGGCAGCCAUCUCUCCUCGCUGUUAUGUUUCUCAUCGCAAUUGUCGUCAGUCCAUCGACAUCAAGGCAAUCCUACCGCAGCAGAUGUGUUCGAGGUCGGCUACCUCCUCAGCGUCGAGGUCUCCCACCAAGCCGAGCAUGCCACUGCUCCAUCCUUCGUGAAGAUGUAGCAGGUCGGGCUAUGAAGCAAGAAAAGGUCGGACAGCAAAGAAGUUGAAGGUCGAGAUUCGUGCUCCUCCGAUGGGGAUGCAGACCAGCGCCUCGUGGAACAAGGGCCUCCUCUGCCUGUCGAGCCACCUGUGCACCGCAAUAUCAAUCCACUGCACGCCCACCUUGUGUGCCAAGUAGAAGUUCAGUUUCGCUUGCAAGGAUGAUGGCAAGAUAUGUCUGUCAAAACAUAAAAACGGGAGCUUGGAGAACCACCUCAUCAUAAGCGAAUUUUUCAGUAGUCGACCUUUUCUACUGAAUAUCACCUUUUUUUGGUCGAUCUGCCCUUUGUUUUAAGUCGACUUGGUCUGCAAAGUAGUGCAUCUUGCAGAUGUUGGCGAACAUCACAUAUUUUAUAUUAAGAACCAUAGUUUGUAGUGGUGUACAACUAACAAAACUAGCACAUAUUAUAUUUAAGAACCA